UACGUAGGGGGCGAGCGUUAUCCGGAUUUACUGGGUGUAAAGGGAGCGCAGACGGGACAGCAAGCCAGAUGUGGAAGCCCCGGGCAUAACCCGGGGAGUGCAUUUGGAACUGUUGACCUUGAGUGCCGGAGGGGUAAGCGGAAUUCCCAGUGUAGCGGUGAAAUGCGUAGAUAUUGGGAAGAACACCGGUGGCGAAGGCGGCUUACUGGACGGUAACUGACGUUGAGGCUCGAAAGCGUGGGGAGCAAAC
rnacentral:rRNA from 1 species